GGCUGGUCCGAAGGUAGUGAGUUGUCUCAAUUGAUUGUUCACAGUCAGUUACAGAUCGAAGUUGUUCUACUCUUUCCCCUCUUCUCGCUACUGCACUUGACUAGUCUUUA
ensembl:Y_RNA Y_RNA Y RNA